rnacentral:tRNA from 1 species
UGGGCUGUUAGCUCAGUUGGCAGAGCAACUGACUUGUAAUCAGUAGGUUGCGGGUUCAACUCCAGCCACCAGCUUAACUA